rnacentral:rRNA from 1 species
UACGUAGGGGGCGAGCGUUGUCCGGAUUUAUUGGGCGUAAAGAGCUCGUAGGCGGCUUGUCAAGUCGGGUGUGAAACCUCCAGGCUCAACCUGGAGAUGCCACCCGAGACUGUCAUGGCUAGAGUCCGGUAGGGGACCAUGGAAUUCCUGGUGUAGCGGUGGAAUGCGCAGAUAUCAGGAGGAACACCGAUGGCGAAGGCAGGUCACUGGGCCGCAACUGACGCUGAGGAGCGAAAGCAUGGGGAGCGAACAGG